rnacentral:rRNA from 1 species
UGGGGAAUUUUGGACAAUGGGGGAAACCCUGAUCCAGCCAUCCCGCGUGUUCGAUGAAGGCCUUCGGGUUGUAAAGCACUUUUGGCAGGAAAGAAACGUCAUGGGUUAAUACCCCGUGAAACUGACGGUACCUGCAGAAUAAGCACCGGCUAACUACGUGCCAGCAGCCGCGGUAAUACGUAGGGUGCAAGCGUUAAUCGGAAUUACUGGGCGUAAAGCGUGCGCAGGCGGUUCGGAAAGAAAGAUGUGAAAUCCCAGAGCUCAACUUUGGAACUGCAUUUUUAACUACCGGGCUAGAGUGUGUCAGAGGGAGGUGGAAUUCCGCGUGUAGCAGUGAAAUGCGUAGAUAUGCGGAGGAACACCGAUGGCGAAGGCAGCCUCCUGGGAUAACACUGACGAUCAUGCACGAAAGCGUGGGGAGCAAACAGG